AAAAGUCGUAACAAGGUUUCCGUAGGUGAACCUGCGGAAGGAUCAUUAUUGAAUGAAUUAAGAGUUGGUUGUUGCUGGCCUUCCGGGGCAUGUGCACACCUUCUCUUUCAUCCACACACACCUGUGCACUUGUGAGACAGGGAGGGCCUUUAUUGGCUUUUUCCUGUCUAUUUUACACAAACUCAUUUAUUUUAAACUGAAUGUAAUUGAUGUAACACAUCAUUUAAAUACUAAGUUUCAACAACGGAUCUCUUGGCUCUCGCAUCGAUGAAGAACGCAGCGAAAUGCGAUAAGUAAUGUGAAUUGCAGAAUUCAGUGAAUCAUCGAAUCUUUGAACGCACCUUGCGCUCCUUGGUAUUCCUUGGAGCAUGCCUGUUUGAGUAUCAUGAAAUUCUCAAAGUAAACCUUUUGUUAAUUCAAUUGGUUCUGCUUUGGACUUGGAGGUCUUUUGCGGAUUAACAUCUGCUCCUCUUAAAUUUAUUAGCUGGAUCUCAGUAUAUGCUUGGUUCCACUCGGCGUGAUAAGUUAUCACUCGCUGAGGACACUGUAAAAGGUGGCCAGGAAAUACAGAUGAACCGCUUCUAAUAGUCUAUUAAAUUAGACAAUUAAUUUUAAGAUCUGAUCUCAAAUCAGGUAGGACUACCCGCUGAACUUAAGCAUAUCAAUAAGCGGAGGAAAAGAAACU
rnacentral:rRNA from 1 species